UUUCAAUUUAUUUUAUUAUUGCUAAAAUUAAUUAAUAUGAAAGAGAUACUUGAACCCGUUUGUUAAGGUUGAUUUUGAACUCUCUCUGACUUUUCUUUUGAGUUACAUUUUAGAGUUUUCAGUAAUUACUAAACAAGAUGUCGAAAAAAACGCAUUUUUAUAAUCCAAAAUCUGGGCUACCAAAAUCAACCAGACAUUAUUUAAAAAAAAAAGGCAUUUUAAAAUUGGAUUGCGAUGAUUCAA